rnacentral:rRNA from 1 species
AUUGAACGCUGGCGGCAGGCCUAACACAUGCAAGUCGAGCGGAGCGGCGGACGGGUGAGUAAUGCCUAGGAAUCUGCCUGGUUGUCGGGGAUAACGUCCGGAAACGGGCGCUAAUACCGCAUACUAUCAGAUGAGUCUAGGUCGGAUUAGCUAGGUGGUGGGGUAAAGGCCUACCAAGUCGACGAUUCGUCACUGUUCUGAGAGGAUGAUCAGUCACACGGGAACGGAGACACGGUCCAGCCUCCUACGGUAGGCAGCAGUGGGGAAUAUUGGACAAUGGGCGAAAGCCUGAUCCAGCCAUGCCGCGUGUGUGAAGAGGGUCUUCGGAUUGUAAAGCACUUUGAGAUGGGAGGCGGUACCAACAGAAUAAGCACCGGCUAACUUCGUGCCAGCAGCCGCGGUAAUAC